GCGGAUUUAGCUCAGUUGGGAGAGCGCCAGACUGAAGUUUAAACUUCGGUCAUAAGAAAUCUGGAGGUCGUGUGUUCGAUCCACACAAUUCGCA
rnacentral:tRNA from 1 species